rnacentral:rRNA from 1 species
GAACUGAAACAUCUAAGUACCCGGAGGAAGAGAAAUCAAACGAGAUGCCCACAGUAGCGGCGAGCGAAGAGGGCAGAGCCCAAACCGAGAAGCUCCGGCUUUUCGGGGUUGAGGACCGGCAGAAUCGAAGUCAGGCCUAGUUGAAUUACCUGGAAAGGUAAGCGAGAGAGGGUAAAAGCCCCGUAGACGAAAGGCAGAGCAGAGAGGCCGAGAUCCAGAGUACCACGAAGCACGAGGAAUUUUGUGGGAAGCAGGGGGGACCACCCUCCAAGGCUAAAAACUACUUGGCGACCGAUAGCGCAUAGUACCGUGAGGGAAAGGUGAAAAGAACCCCGGGAGGGGAGUGAAAUAGUACCUGAAACCGUAUGUCUACAAGCAGUCGAAGCGAAAGCGACGGCGUGCCUAUUGAAGAAUGAACCAACGAGUUAUCUGCACUAGCGAGGUUAAGUGGAAGACACGGAGCCGCAGCGAAAGCGAGUCUUAAGAGGGCGCUAGUUAGUGUAGGUAGACCCGAAACCGCAGUGAUCUACCCAUGUCCAGGUUGAAGCGCAGGUAAAAUUGCGUGGAGGACCGAACCGGUGAGCGUUGAAAAGCUUUCGGAUGAGAUGUGGGUAGGGGUGAAAUUCCAAUCGAACGCGGAGAUAGCUGGUUCUCCCCGAAAUAGCUUUAGGGCUAGCCUGAGGUAGUAAGUAUAGGCGGUAGAGCACUGAUCGGGCUAGGGGCCGUAAAGGUUACCGAACCCUGUCAAACUCCGAAUGGAUAUACUGUAGAGCCUUGGAGUCAGACUACGAGUGAUAAGAUCCGUGGUCAAAAGGGAAACAGCCCAGAUCGUCAGCUAAGGUCCCAAAGUCGUAUUAAGUGGAAAAGGAUGUGGGGUUUCAUAAACAACCAGGAUGUUGGCUCAGAAGCAGCCAUCAUUUAAAGAGUGCGUAAUAGCUCACUGGUCGAGAGACCCUGCGCCGAAGAUUCCCGGGGCUAAAGUACGAAACCGAAGCUGUGGCUGUAUACGUAAAGUAUACGGGGUAGGGGAGCGUUCCCAUAGGGUAGAAGUCGAACUGGAAGGUUCGGUGGACUUGUGGGAAGUGAGAAUGUUGGUAUGAGUAGCGAAAAGAAAGGUGAGAAUCCUUUCCACCGAAAGCAUAAGGAUUCCUGAGCAACGAUCGUCGUCUCAGGGUAAGUCGGGACCUAAUCCGAGGCAGAGAGCGUAGGAGAUGGACAACUGGUUGAUAUUCCAGUACCGGUAGUAAUUGUUUGAGCAAUGGAGUGACACAGAAGGGCAGGCAAGCAUGCGAAUGGAAGAGCAUGUGUAAGCGUGUAGGGUGGUGCAUAGGCAAAUCCGUGCACUGAAAGCCUGAGGCGUGAUGCGGAGUGAGCAGAGAUGCGAGCGAAGUUGUUGACCCCACACUGUCGAGAAAAGCUUCUAGUGAGAGAGCUACCGCCCGUACCGUAAACCGACACAGGUAUGCGGGGAGAGAAUCCUAAGGUGCGCGGGAGAACCCUCGUUAAGGAACUCGGCAAAAUGUACCCGUAACUUCGGGAUAAGGGUAGCCACUGUUGUGAAGUCCCAUGCGGAUGGAGCAUAGAGUGGUCGCAGAGAAGAGGCCCAAGCGACUGUUUACCAUAAACACAGGUGCCUGCUAAAGCGAAAGCUGACGUAUAGGUGCUGACACCUGCCCAGUGCCGGAAGGUUAAGGAAGGAUGUUCGGAUUAGUCCAAAGCAUUCGACUGAAGCCCCGGUGAACGGCGGCCGUAACUAUAACGGUCCUAAGGUAGCGAAAUUCCUUGUCGGGUAAGUUCCGACCCGCACGAAAGGUGUAACGAUUUGGGCACUGUCUCAACGAGGGACCCGGUGAAAUUGAAAUACCUGUGAAGAUGCAGGUUACCCGCGACUGGACAGAAAGACCCCAUGGAGCUUUACUGUAACCUGACAUUGGGUUUUGAUACAUUACGUACAGGAUAGGUGGGAGGCUUGGAAAGUUGGACGCUAGUCUGACUGGAGCCGACGUUGGGAUACCACCCUUGAUGUAUUGAAAUUCUAACCGCGAGAGUAACGAAAUCCGGGACAGUGUCAGGCGGGCAGUUUGACUGGGGCGGUCGCCUC